GGGUCAGAUAAUCAGAAACACUUGGGAGUAUCAGGAGUUUAAAAAUCAUAAGUCAAAUGAGAUUUUGAGAUUUCUAAUUUUUAAAAAUUUUUGUUUCUUCUGGAAACCUGACAUUUACACCUCCAUGAAUCCCCAUAUUCCAAGUUGUGAAGAUAUUGGCUAGAUCAUCGGCUGUGAGACUUACUGAGACCUGCAACCAGAGUCCUUCCACCCUCCUGGAUGCCCAACAGGCAUCUUAAUCCCUCCGUCUCUGCAGAUGACAUCUCCUGUUGUGCUCUUACUGGAGCCAAAUUCUUCGGUGCUUCUCUUGGCUCCUGGCUCCAGCUGUCAACGUUUCAAAUAGAAUAAUGAAGUUCAGAGUCACCGCUCUGUGCUUCCCAUGGCCUUGAGAAGUCGGCUUCCAGGACGGAGGUGAUGAAGGCUGACUUGGCAAGGGGCUGGGAGGUUCUGCUCGAACCUUCACAAGCAGACUGGAGCUGAGGUCACAGACAGACUGCGCAGGUACCAGCGUCCUUGAUUUUCCAGCUUCAAAGUGAACGGCCUCUGAAGUAGGGGGACAGUCACACCUGCCUUGCUGCCGUUGAUUUCUGCCUUCCUGGCUGCAGACUCAACAAGACAACAAUGAGUCUGUUGACAUUUUCAAGGCCACAUUCAUAAACCAGCCAUGGGAAGCCUCUCUCCCCCUUUCUUUCAAAGUGAACAUGAAAACGUUGUGUACCCAGUAAGAAUUCAGCAACGAACUCAACUCCUCGGAGAUUGGAUCUUAAGUUCAGAUGCUUUAUGAAUCAGACACUAUGACUGGUUUCUGGCCCCUGAAGCCUGCCUGAGAAGUGGACUACGUAUUACCCAGAAGCCUCUGGAACCUGUCAAGGAUGAUCUUCUGCUGUUACUAUCAGCUCCAUCCACCUCACUUUCCUUCUCCAGGCAAAAGCAGGUGCUGGUCGUGGUGAGCCAGAUGUGUCAGACUCAAAGACAAGUGUCAUAUGUUUGCUCUCAUAUGUGGAAGCUAGAGAGGAAAAAGGGAAAAGAAAGUUCUCACAAAAAUAGAAAGAAGACUGUUAGGGCAAAAGAAGAGGAUCAGGGCAGGGAGGAGAGAUACAGGACAGGGGACUGAAAUUAGUUAAAUUGUUACAUGCAUAUAUGAAUAUGCCACAAUAAAACCCACUAUCCUGUAUAAUUAAUAUGCACCAGUAAAAUGUUUAAUUAAAAUAAUAAAGUAAAACC
rnacentral:lncRNA from 1 species